rnacentral:lncRNA from 1 species
UAAAUACUACAUCAAAUCAUGAGAAAAAUAAAAUUUAUUUGAACAGACACCAUAUAUGAUAAAGAGUCAAUAAAUACCACCUGAAGUUGUAAAAAAUGUAAAUUCUUCAAUCCUUUAUAAAUCAAGUUCAUAUAAUGAUAGAGCAUGGUCACUUGACAUGUUUGACAUAGAAAGUUUUUGUAGGUUUUGAGAGAAAGUUAAUUCUGAAUUAACGCAUUACCACCAAGAUAUCUAUUUUACGUUUAAAAAAAAAUCAAAAUCAAAUCCUUUAAUUUCUACCAUCCUGAUAUGUCAUGAAUCCUGUCAGAUCAGGAACAAAUAAAGGAUUGAAUUUUAACAAUAUUGUAAAAAAUGGCAAACUAUUUUGUACAUACAUACCCUUAAUACAUGGACAUUAGAUGAAUUAUCAUUUACCUAUUUAUGCCUUUUAACUGUAAACAAACAAAUGCUGACACACAAAUAAAGUAAAAUAUUACAUAGUACAAAAUUGGCAGUGUAAUGGAAAAGUUUGAAUAUUCUAUAAUACGUAAAACCUUAAAGGUAUUGAAAAAAUCACCAAAGUGUAUUUAUAAAAGUUGAAAAAUGUUAUACCUGAAAUGUUCAACAAUAGACAUAACAAUAAAAAGUGCUGUACAAAAUUUGUUUCUUACCAUGAAGGGUUUUCUUUAACGACAAUAUAAAAAAAUAUUCCAAGGACAUUCUUAAAAACCUAUAAGUAGAGAAACAUCAUAUCAAAAAUAAACAAGUUCACAAACGCUAUUAAUGAAAGAGUAAUAAAGACACCUAAAAUAAGGGAUAAUCUCAGGUGAUCAGGUAAACAGAUCCUGCUCCAGUAGGAAUACCUGUACAAAGGUGAGAGGAGUAUUAUCAGGUGAUGUCACAACCAAGGAACAGGACUGUGGUUAUGACAAUUUAAGCAUAUCCAUGGCACAAAUAUUCCAUAACGGUCCAACAACUAAUGGCAUUCCUAUAACUUUCAAAGGGAUGGCUUCAUUAUUCCCACUUUGAACACUGGUUUAGUGGCUUUCCUUGUAAGCAGCAACCCUCUAUUAAACAUGCAAACUCUGGAAUAUUGUAUCAACUGGGAGAUAUAUACUCCAUAUGCAUGAGCUGCCGAAAUGUUGUUACUACAAAAUAUGUCGUGCUACAAAAAAGAUCCUAAAAAAACCUAGACAGUUGAAAUAUUCCCAUGUCAUCCUUAACUCAAAAUCCUAACCCUAAGAUAUCCAUAAAUUCUUAAACCUUAUCUGAACACUCAAGUCAUAGUGCAUCUAAAAGUAUAAGGAGAAAAUUAAAAAUUGUACCUGAGCUCAUCAAUAAAUAAUUGCAAUUAAAGCAUUGAAUAAAUUGUACAGAUCAGCAUAAACCAUAACAAUGGCAUAUCACAACACAGUUUAUAAAACAAGAAUGUGUCCAUAGUACACG